rnacentral:lncRNA from 1 species
GAAGAUAGAAGAGAGUUCUUUCUCUUCUCUAUAAAAACCCAAACGUGGGGUGAAAAAGAAAAAGGAGGGAAAGAACAACGCCCUUGGCCGAAUGGGAAUGGAAGGAGGAAAAAAAAAGAAGGUUUUCAUCUUAUCUAAUUUAGUCCUUUUCAUGCAAAAUUUAAAGUUUUCAUAAAAAUUCCUCUCCCUUACAAAAGGGUCCUUGCCGUGGAAAGGAGAGGAGGUCUAAGCAAGGCAUUUUAUUAAUUUUGUCAUGGAAGAACAAGAGGGAAUUUGGUUUGGAGAAAAUAGGUAAGUUGUUUAUUUUAAUAGAAGUUAAUAGUUUAUUUUGAUAAAAGUUGUAUAAAAUAGCAAUUGAAUGUGAAAAUGGUUGUGUAGUGAUAAUUUUAUAUUUUUAUUUUGAUCUAUGGCUAACGUCGACCCGAAUUCCUCGAAAAAGAAAGGAAAAGACAAAGUCAUCGAUGAAUAUCUCGAAGUUUACGGUUUGUGUUUCUAUAAUUGAAACUAACUUGUAAUCGUUGCAUAUUGAUUUUUUUAUAUAUAUGGUAAGAAUAUAAGGUGAGGCUCUUUGUUCAAUUGAGAUUAUUUGGACUGAUUUGAAUUGAUUGAUGAUCAUGAGAACUAAAUCGAAUAUACGUGAAAUAUGUGAAUGUUCAUAUAAAUAUGAAAUUUAAUAUAUGUUGAGAUAAUCGAUGCUACCAUAUGUUUGAAUAAAUGAAUUCAUGAUAAAAGUUGUUGUAAAUUGAGAUAUUAAAUGAUAAUGAAUUGAGUAAAAAAUACCCUAUUAACUAUUCGAGUAGAGUCAGAUAUAGUUGGUAUGCCAUAAGAUAGGAAAAGUUCAGGGAUACGUCGACCAUGAGUUGAUGAGGAACUGAGUGUCAAUUUGCUUUGGUUUCACCAAUGAGACACUGGGUGUCAAACAUAUUGAUAGUCCUGGGCACAACUAUUUGCUUCGAAUUUAUCCGAUGAGGCAUUAGGUACCAAACUGGUGUGUUGGUUGGAUCCGUGUAUCUGUCCGAGUUCGAGUCUUGUUAAUAGGUAGUUAAAAGAUAAAAAUUAAAGUUUUAUAAUUGAAAUCAUGAUAUUGUGAAAGUCCUCAAAAUUUCUUGUGAUAGGAAAAAUCCAUAUGAGAUGAAAUGUUUGAUAUUGAAAUGGCAAAUGGAAAGAAAUGAAAGUGAAGUGUGGAAUGUAAUAUGCAAUUGUGAACUGAGUUAAGACCUUGAUACAUUAUGCGUAUGGGAUUAUGAAAUUUGAAAUUGAGUUGGAAUGUGCUACCAUAUGAAAUGAAUUUCUCAAUUGACAUAUGAGAUGGAAUUGUCAUGUUUUAAUGUUAGCAAAGCAUGAAAUUUGUGAACAAAGAAUGUGUGAAUUGGACAUAUUAAUAGCAUAUCAUCACUUGUUUUAAAUUAAAAAUAUUAAAUGACUUAUGUUAUAUUUUAAUGUUUGGUUAUAGAAAUACCCCUGAGUAAUACUUAGUGAACGGUUUUGUUUUCGUGCAGGUUAGGUACUUUAUGUUUCAUUCGUCAACUCAACAUCCAGCGGCAAUCCCAGGCUCAAUCAUUGGCGACAUUUUAAAUUUUGAUCAUGGCAUGUACCGAAGGUGUCAUUUGGGCAUUUUAUGUUUUAUAUUAUGAUUUUUGUGGCAUUUUGAAGACUAUGUAUAUAUAAAUAUAUGUGUGAUGGAAAUGGACAGGAAAAUGAC